UUUAAAUGUAAUUUUUUAAAAUUAAAUAAUUAAUAGUUAUGGUCUUUAAAGUUAAAUAAUUUGGCGGUGUUUUAGUCUUUUCAGAGGAACCUGUUCUAUAAAUGAUAGUCCACGAUUUUUUAGUUUUAAAUUAGAAGUUUAUAUAUCAUCGUUUUUAAAUAUUUUUUUAGAAUUUAAUAUUUAAAAAAUAUAAUUUUAUUAAAAUUCAGAUCAAGGUAUAGCUUAUAUUUAAAAAGAAAUGGGUUACAAUAUAAAAAUAUUUGAAUUUAAAAUUUAAAAUUUUAAUGAAAUUGGAUUUGAAAGUAAUUAUUUUUUUAAAGAUAAUGAUUUAGCUCUAAAAUAUGC
rnacentral:rRNA from 1 species